CGUUCCCGGGCCUUGUACACACCGCCCGUCACAUCACGAAAGUGGAUUGUACUAGAAGUCCUAAUCAAACAGGCCCAAGGUGUGAUUCAUGAUUGGGGUGAAGUCGUAACAAGGUACCC
rnacentral:rRNA from 1 species